rnacentral:rRNA from 1 species
AUUGAACGCUGGCGGCAGGCCUAACACAUGCAAGUCGAACGAGUGGCGGACGGGUGAGUAAUGUCUGGGAAACUGUCCGAUGGCGGGGGAUAACUACUGUAAAAGGUAGCUCUUACCGCAUACCCUAGGAUGUGCCCAGAUGGGAUUAGCGAGUGGGUGGGGUAAAGGCUCACCAAGGCGACGAUCCCUAGCUGGUCUGAGAGGAUGACCAGCCACACUGGAACUGAGACACGGUCCAGACUCCUACGGGAGGCAGCAGUGGGGAAUAUUGCACAAUGGGGGCAAGCCUGAUGCAGCCAUGCCGCGUGUGUGAAGAAGGCCUUCGGGUUGUAAAGUACUUUCAGCGAGGAGGCGUUACCCGCAGAAGAAGCACCGGCUAACUCCGUGCCAGCAGCCGCGGUAAUUC